rnacentral:tRNA from 1 species
GGGCCGGUAGCUCAAUUGGUAGAGCAAAUGCCUCUUAAGCAUUAGGUUCUGGGUUCGACCCCCAGCCGGCUCA